GUUCACUACCUGUUAAACAUAAAAUGAGAAUAUAGACCUUGGUGGAUUCAUGAAUGAUAUUUUAAUAUUGUGUAAGGUUUGCAAUUUUUUUAUACGACCUGUAGAUCCUGAAAUACCAAGAAACUUCCAUGUGACCUCUUGGAGCAGCAGCAGCAGUUUGACAGUGGCUUGGGAUUGUCCUUGGAACAAUAAGUUCUCCUUCUUCCUCCUCACUGUGCUCUUCCUCAAUGGCACAAACCACGUGGUGGACGAGAAAUUCCACAGGAAGGAGCAGGAGCCUUUCACCUUCACCCUGGAAAACGUGCCCCCCUGCAGCAGAGUGCAGUUCGCCAUACGCACUGUUUGUGGUUUGGGGGCGGAAGCUCGCAGGAGCAAGACUGUUAUGAUUGAUGGUAACUCUGGUAAGAAACGGAGCAGAAUCUUCUCUGAAGACAUUCCACCUUAUGCUACUUAACACCUUUUGGGGUCAGUCCCAAAAAGUUGUUUUUUUUUUUUUUUUUUUUUUUUUUUUUUUAAACCAGUGGUGGGGCUACAGAUUUCUGUCACUAUUAAUAAGGUCUAGUGAACUUUUAUAUUUUUCCUCAUGCUUCCUAGCUCACUCUGAAAUUGAAAACCUGCAUCAGUUCCAUGGUGGACCAGACAACUACACCUUGAUUUGGAGCAUCAAGAACACCUCGUCCAUUGCUUUUUUCAGGGUGUACCAUGAAGGGAGAAUGCAUGGCUCUACAUUCAGCACCACACACACUGUGGGAAACCUGGAGCCCUGCCAUCGACACAUGGCCAGGGUGGAGGCUGUGUGUAGUGAGAGCGUAGUCAUGAGUGUGAAGACCCUGCAGACAUACACUGGUCCCCAAGGUGUGGUAAACCUGCGCUACAGACCUGAAGCCUCCACGGCUCUCUGGAGCAGACGGUCUGGACCAGGCACAGUAUUCAGUUACAAGCUCUCCUACCGAAACGGCUCUCUGGUCCACAAAGGGCGGCUGCAGCAGCCAGUGUUGCCUCUGAUCGACUUGGUUCAGGGCCUGUCCUACAUCCUGCAAGUAUGGGAGGCAUGCCUGGGGUUGUGGAGCCAGAGUCCAGCUGUGCUACACUUCAGCAAAGAGAAUGGGUCUCUUGACCUCUCGACUCCUGAUUAUGGUGAGGUCCGCUCAUUAUAAGAGCAUUUUGUUUAAAGCAGGGGUGUCACGGCCCAUGGGCCACGAGCGUAUCCUGAGAGAUCACUAUGUAUAUGACACAAAGUACAAAUCCCAUAAUGCAGUGCUUCAGUUGCCUUGACAAAACACGAUCUUUACGCUGCAGCUUAAUCUGUACUUGAGCAGUUCCCACGUUGACAGCAAAUGGGUUGUGAGGCAGCUCAAUUGUUUAGUUUUUUUUUUUUUUUGGUUUAAAGCUUCUCUGGGCUUAGACCUGUUCCUCUCCCAUAACUUUCUGAAGAUUUAGAGUGCAACUUAUCUUCUUCUCUGGCUGUCGUUGUUCCCUGGAUGCUGCCUGAAGACUUUAAAGAUCCUAAGGCGGCAGUACGUCUCACACUUGAGAAAAUCGUCAAAACUAAAGUCAGUUCAUACUUUGUGAAGUUUGAAGUUGCACCUGAAUUUGUCAAUUUGAUCCCAUAUGUCAUUCGGUCCUUAGCUGGAAGACCUUCUGCGCUUGUUUCUUCACCCAUUAAAAGUUGACAUUUUAGAGCUUGCGGAUUUUGGUCAAAACGGGACAAAAAUCAGCUUCCAGACAUUAGACGCCUCUGUUGCGAACGCCAUGGAUCCUUUUCCAUCUGCUGAGCUGCUGGACUUCCUUCAGAUACUGCAACCUGCCAAUAUCACAAUAAAAGACAACUACCUGUUUUGGGAUGGUGAGUCAGCAUUGCUUUCCCUGUUUACAAUGAAUACAACAUUAGAAAAUAUCUAAUUCAUAUUGAAUCAUAUGGGGGCAGUGG
ensembl:lncRNA